rnacentral:rRNA from 1 species
UACGUAGGGUGCAAGCGUUGUCCGGAAUUAUUGGGCGUAAAGAGCUCGUAGGCGGUUUGUCGCGUCGAAUGUGAAAACCCGGGGCUCAACCCCGGGCCUGCAUUCGAUACGGGCAGACUAGAGUUCGGUAGGGGAGUCUGGAAUUCCUGGUGUAGCGGUGAAAUGCGCAGAUAUCAGGAGCAACACCGGUGGCGAAGGCGGGACUCUGGGCCGAUACUGACGCUGAGGAGCGAAAGCGUGGGGAGCAAACAGG